AACGAACGCUGGCGGCAUGCCUAACACAUGCAAGUCGAACGAGACCUUCGGGUCUAGUGGCGCACGGGUGCGUAACGCGUGGGAAUCUGCCCUUCGGUUGGGAAUAACUGAGAGAAAUUUCAGCUAAUACCUUAUAAUGUCUUCGGACCAAAGAUUUAUCGCCGAGGGAUGAGCCCGCGUAGGAUUAGGUAGUUGGUGGGGUAAUGGCCUACCAAGCCGACGAUCCUUAGCUGGUCUGAGAGGAUGAUCAGCCACACUGGGACUGAGACACGGCCCAGACUCCUACGGGAGGCAGCAGUGGGGAAUAUUGGACAAUGGGCGAAAGCCUGACCCAGCAAUGCCGCGUGAGUGAUGAAGGCCUUAGGGUUGUAAAGCUCUUUUACCCGGGAUGAUAAUGACAGUACCGGGAGAAUAAGCUCCGGCUAACUCCGUG
rnacentral:rRNA from 1 species